rnacentral:rRNA from 1 species
CCUACGGGAGGCAGCAGUGAGGAAUAUUGGUCAAUGGGCUUACGCCUGAACCAGCCAAGUCGCGUGAGGGAAGACUGCCCUAUGGGUUGUAAACCUCUUUUGUCAGGGAGCAAUUGGCGCUACGUGUAGCGUUAUCGAGAGGACCUGAAGAAAAAGCAGCGGCGAACUCCGGGCCAGCAGCCGCGGGAAUACGGAGGAUCCGAGCGUGAUCCGGAUUUCUUGGGUUGAAAGGGAGCGUAGAUGGGUUGUUCAGUCAGUUGUGAAAAUUUGCGGCUCAACCGUACAAUUGCAAUUGAUACUGGCAGUCUUGAGCUGUCGAGAGGUAUGCGGAAUUCGCAGUGUAGCGGUGCAAUGCUUAGAUAUUGCGCAGAACUCCGAUUGCGAAGGCAGCAUACCGGCGUCGAUCUGACGCUGAGGCACGAAAGCGUGGGUAUCGAACAGGAUUAGAUACCCCAGUAGUC